UGCAUGACUUUUUACUGACUCAUUUGUCAAAACACUCUGACAUUAUCUAUGUAUGAUCAUUUUAGAGAUUGAGGAAAAUAAACUCAAGAACUGGUGACUUGCCCAGGUCACACUACUGGUGGGUAGCAAAACAGCAGCUAGAAUCUAUAGCUUCUGGCUUUCCAGCCAGUCCUUGUUCCACUACAUUCAUUACUUCUUUGCUGGACUGAAAAGCUUAGGACUUUUCCUGUAAGUAAUACGGAGCCAUUGAAGAUCUGAAGUUUCAAGGAAGUGGUAGGAUGGAUUCUCUUUUACUAUAAGAUGAGGAUGAGGAAGCGGAGGAUCAGAGCUUACGUGAUUGGCUCAGUAUCACACAGUACCACACAAUAAACGAUGAGGAGAUUCUGGCUCACAGAGGUGAAGUGAUCUGCUCAAGAUGAAAUAGCCAGCUGGUGAAAUUACUGAGACAAGCACUCAGGUUCAGAGUCUGGCUUGCAGACAAGGUACAGAUGGAAAUCUUCCUGGACUCAGGCCAAGAAGAGGAGAAAGGAGGAAGGAAAUAUGGUUAUACUUUCCUUGCUAAGGAAAUCCAACCCUCCACAAGGCAGCUUUCUUCCCAUCCCCUUGACCUUUUAGGAAAAAGCCCUGUGCCCAUCCUGCUGUGAUUCAGGAGUCUCGCAGAAGACAUCAGAAUGCCUUUCUCUGAGUCACAGUCUGUAUCUUCUAGAAAAGGCUGUCCAUCUUCACCCCAAGCCCACUGGCUCCUGAGAUACGACAUCCAGACCCAGUGCAGCUGGACCUGGCCCAGGAAGAUCAUGCGGUUUCUGGGAAGCACUGGAGAAGGAAAAGGCUGAAGAAAGGAAGACCGGAAAAGAAAUACAAGUCCUUCCGCCUUGGCAAAGAUGAUAGUACCGUUCCCUUCAGUGUUCCGGUUCUGCUCUAUUGGAUAAGUUCCGGUUUGACUAUGACUACGUGAAAAUGUGGAACCAGACCUUCACCCCACAUUCCAGCUCCAGCUCUACCACAGAGGAAGUGCAAUAUCACCUUAGUUAUUCAACACAUUAUGCUCCUCGUGAUACAACCAGAGUUCACAUCAGCAAUCUUGGCAGCUCUCACCACGCUGCUGACUCACGACUCUCUCAUGUCCCAAUUUCCUGUCCAUUGUUCUUUCCUCUACUUGGCCUGAUUUCUAAAGGCCUCUCUUGGUUGCAUUAAGCGGGAUUCCUGAGGGAUUCCCUUGGCAGUUACCUUGGGGGAGCUCUUAGGUUUGGGGCUGAUCCAUGUCCUCUAAAUGUAGGACUUCAAAGCUCCCAAAGAUAGGCAGGCCCAGUGGGAAGCUGGGAAAUGCUCUCUGACCCCUCUGGGAGGGCUGGCAGUCAGAGGGCCUUUUGGAAAGAGUCAGACCUGAUCCAUAAGUCCCUGGAAAACACCCUGCCCAGGGAGCAAAUGCCACUGUGGCCUUGACUGAGGCUUCAGAAGAGUUUGGGAGCUGCAAUUCAUCCACACACGCAUUCAUUUUCAAGUAGUGGUUUGCAGUUCAGGCUUUGGAGCCACAUAAGCCUGGCUUCAAAGCCACUUUCCAGCUUUGUAGGAAGUCUCUACAUUUUUAAACCUCCAUUUUUUUUUCCUGUAAAACUGGGGUCUUCAUGGUACUUAACUUCAUCGUGAUGUUGAGAGAAUGAAAAGAAAAAGGAUAAAUAAAUGGCUUAGCCUCGUGCCUUGGCACAUA
rnacentral:lncRNA from 1 species